ACAGCAGCAGCCGCGGUAAUACGGAGGGUGCAAGCGUUAAUCGGAAUUACUGGGCGUAAAGCGCACGCAGGCGGUCUGUCAAGUCAGAUGUGAAAUCCCCGGGCUUAACCUGGGAACUGCAUUUGAAACUGGCAGGCUAGAGUCUUGUAGAGGGGGGUAGAAUUCCAGGUGUAGCGGUGGAAUGCGUAGAGAUCUGGAGGAAUACCGGUGGCGAAGGCGGCCCCCUGGACAAAGACUGACGCUCAGGUGCGAAAGCGUGGGGAGCAAACAGGAUUAGAUACCCCAGUAGUCCCUGUCUCUUAUAC
rnacentral:rRNA from 1 species